rnacentral:rRNA from 1 species
UACGUAGGGUGCGAGCGUUAAUCGGAAUUACUGGGCGUAAAGCGUGCGCAGGCGGGCUUUUAAGCCAGACGUGAAAUCCCCGGGCUUAACCUGGGAAUGGCAUUUGGGACUGCAAGGCUGGAGUGUGGCAGAGGAGACUGGAAUUCCUGGUGUAGCAGUGAAAUGCGUAGAUAUCAGGAGGAAUACCGAUGGCGAAGGCAGGUCUCUGGGCUGACACUGACGCUCAUGCACGAAAGCGUGGGGAGCAAACAGG